rnacentral:SRP_RNA from 1 species
GCCAGGCAUGGUGGCGCGUGCCUGUAGUCCCAGCUACUCGGGAGGCUGAGGCAGGAGAAUUGCUUGAGCCCAGGAGGCAGAGGUUGCAGUGAGACGAGAUCGUGUUAUUGCACUCCAGCCUGGGCAACAGAGUGAGACUCUGUCUCAU